rnacentral:lncRNA from 1 species
UAAUGUUUGCAUAGCAAGCUGUUUCAGCUUCAAGACUCUAGGAAUUAAGAUCUGAUCAGAAUUCAGCUAAAGGGCAGUUAUUUUCAAUAAAGACUGAGGCAGAACAAGAUAUUGCAUGCUUUUGAGAUUAAAAUUCGAUAAUGGUAUCGUUACUAACGCUUGUGAUACCAAAUUGCUACUUUUACAGCCUCAUUUUUUUUUUUAAAAAAAGCUACAUUCUCGAACAACUUUUCUACUUUCCAUAUGCCUCCUGCCCACCUUUAAUUUGGCAACAGAUAUCUCAUAAGUAACACAGCUAAGGGAGAAUUUUAAAACGCGUCUUUUAAAAAUCAAGUUAAAGGCGGCUGUGUAAGUGCUAAGCACAGAGAGCAUGCACCCGAUUCCUUAGUGUGCCCUCAAGCCUGACAAAAGCACAAGGAACAGUUUGAUACACUUUUAAAAAGUUUCUGAAAACAAAGCUGUUUAUGGAUCAUAUUUCUCUUGAGAAAAGGAUAGCAACAGAAUAUAUUGCUUUCAUUGAUAAGUAUUUGUAGUACAUAUGGUUUUAUUUUAUUUUACUUACUAAUUCUUAUUCUCUAGAAAGCUGUCUCCCCUAUGGCAAAGUGAGUUCUUCAUGUCUCCUUGUUAUUGUGUGCACAUCUGCAGCAUAGCCCAGUUUGAAAUAUUUAUCUGGUUGUCAGCCCUCCACAGAGGCCUGCAUCUUACCAUGCCUCCCAACCUCCAGACCACACAGGGACUUGGAAGCACAGUUUCUUUAAGCACCUUGUAUGAAUAUGGAUGAGAUUAGACCAGCCCCUCUCUUGCUUCUACUUACAUGGCUUGAAGAUGAUGAAGAUGUGGUUCUGCCAGUUUUACCACAUUCUUUCUUUCCUGGUCCUCUCAGUGUUGAGCCUUACAACACUCAGGGAAUUAGGAAGAAGAUUUUUUUUUUUCCAAAAGAGUUAGUGGAAAUUCAAGAGUUGUACCUCGUUUUCAAGUUCAUCCAUCUCCAAUGGAAUGUUUUUAAUGAAAAGAUAAAGAAAAUGGAUAUGAUCUUCAAUAGCACAUCCCUAUAGAAAGUGGAUGUGGUUUAUACCAAAAUCAUAAUUCAGAUAUAUAAAAAAGGUGCCUUUUUAAUUGCCCUUGUUUAUCCAUUAUGAUCUUAGAAAGAAAACUAAGCAAGCAAGCUUCUGCCUAUUCUAUAGUAAUAUUUUAUUAUAUGAUUCGUAUUUUUGUGGUGGGGAAGUGGGAUGCUCCUGACAGAUAUUAAAGGUGGUAGCUGAUUGUAUUUUACCUUUAAAGGUUUAGAACUUUAUAAAAUGCUGACUUCUGCUAUCUAUUUCUGAAACAUUCUUUGUGGAUUUAUAUAUAGUUAAGAUGUAAUAAAUGCUAAUUUGGGGAUUUAAAAUAUCUAUUGUAAGAUAGAAUGAUUAUAUUAUGAGACUGAAUUCACUACAUAAGAUGAACUCCAUAAGUUAAUUAUACUUUUGCAUCUGAUAAUCUGAAAGUGACUAGACAGGGGUUGUUUGGGGUCAUAUGACAUGAUGAUGAUAAAACUUUAGCUAAGUAAGAAACUAGGUAAACUAACUUAGGGAUGCUGAAACGAGAAUCUCUUUCUGAAGUAUUCCAUGCCCUUUAAGACCCUUUUGAGCAACUAUUGAUGAUCAAAAAAGUCAAGACAUUGUAUGAUUUUUUUAUUUUUUUAUGGUCAUCAUUCCAUGAAACUUAGACUCCUGGAAUCCACAAACCUGGAAGGAUCCCUGGCACGUAUUCUCCCUGGUUGUCCAUAUUACUUCAGUAUAUUCAUGGGAAUUUCAUAGGCUCUUUUGUGUUUGAUAUGUGGUAUCCAGUUUGCAUAGUAUAAACUGUAAUCCAAUUGUUGUUAAGAAUGAUUUACUUUAAUGAGAAAAGAGAAAACUGCUCCCCAGGCCCAUUCCUGAGUGUCCCUACCAUGAAUAGCUGAGCAUUUUGGAAGCAGCACCCAGUAUGUAAUGGGCAUGAUAUGUGUGGAAUUGUCGGUCUGUGAUAUAAAUGCACAUUUAAUCAUUGUGUAGCUUGACUCCUGAUUGCUUCAAAAUAUGUAGUGUUAUGGUGGAUUAAUUUGUGAGAUUGUACUAACUUUGAGAGCAUAACAGUUGUGAAGGAAACAAUGGUUUUCAAAUGAAGGGGCUUACAGAAUGAUAUGAUGUUAUUAAUAUAGUUUGGCUUUUGUUAUACAAAUUGUUAACACCAGCUAUUAAAAUAUAUUUUAGUAGAAAGGCUUUAAUCAUGUUUUUUUCCUCUACACUGUGAAUCUUUUAAGCCUUGGUGGACUAGAGAAACAUUGUGCUGCCCAAAGGACUAACCUAUGCAAACGAGUUCACAUUUCAAUGGAUGUCACAGUAAAUGUGUAACAAGACAUACUUUCUCCUGCAUUGAAAUAAUACAUUAAGCCUAGCCUCCAAUAUGUAUAGUGUAGUCACUCACAAACCGACCAUACUCAUUUAGUAUUAGUAUUUGUUUCAAAGUAAAUCUCUUGUUUCAAAGUAAAUCUAUCGAAACUACUUGAACAAUGUUAGAAUAAAAAUGACAAACGGGUGUAUGUUGGCCAUGGGUCCCUGCAAGUGGUCUCUGAUGGUAGAACUGUGUUCUCACAUGCACUCUCUUUAGGGUCUAAAUAUUCUGUUUCCUCUUUCUGUAUUUGUAAAACAUUAUAAUGCAUUAAUUUCCUAUUACCCAUUUGGUUUGCUUAAAUAAAUGCAGGAUAUAACAAAAUGGUUCUACUUCUUGACUGUCACCGUGGUUUCUCGGAGCACAAGUCACUAGACACAGGGUCACUACCGAACCCGACUAUAGCCUGGGUAUUGGGUUUUAAACUCGUGUUAAACUGCAUCAAAGCUGAAUGCUGGUUUGGGCCAGUCAUUUCAAAUAUGCCCCCCUUCCCCAACCCAGAAUGAACUUAGUUUUAGGUGAUAAUAAUAUGAAAAAGCUUGAAAAAGCUUAGUAUCUUACUGAUUUCAUAUCAAAGUACUACAAUCAUGCAUCAUUGUAGUUAACUUCUUUCAGGAUUGAAUUCCUCACAUGUCCUCACUAAUACAAUUCUAAUUUUCUUGUUUUCGUAAGAUGAAAGAAACAGCUUGGAGCAAAAAAAAAAAAUGCACAAAUUGAAUACAUGAAGUGGAAAGAUACUCUGAUCUCUGCUAAAAAUGGCUCAUUUGUUGUAGAAAAUAAUUGCUUCCCUCCUCCAAUUUUCCCAUAGU